rnacentral:rRNA from 1 species
UACGUAGGGUGCGAGCGUUAAUCGGAAUUACUGGGCGUAAAGCGUGCGCAGGCGGCGCCAUAAGACAGAUGUGAAAUCCCCGGGCUCAACCUGGGAACUGCGUUUGUGACUGUGGUGCUCGAGUGCGGCAGAGGGGGGUGGAAUUCCACGUGUAGCAGUGAAAUGCGUAGAGAUGUGGAGGAACACCGAUGGCGAAGGCAGCCCCCUGGGUCGACACUGACGCUCAUGCACGAAAGCGUGGGGAGCAAACAGG